UGGCUCAGUUGGUAGAGCAUGGUGUUUGCAACUGUGCAAUGCCAGGGUUGUGGGUUCGAUUCCCAC
rnacentral:tRNA from 1 species